AUUCUGCCCAAGCGGGGAAGGAUGAGAAGCUUCGACCAAGGUUCGACUCGAGCGCCAGCGAGAGAGCGUUGCCGCAGGCAACGAC
rnacentral:sRNA from 1 species